rnacentral:rRNA from 1 species
CUGCUGCCUUCCGUAGGAGUUUGGUCCGUGUCUCAGUACCAAUGUGGGGGGUUGACCUCUCAGUCCCCCUAUGUAUCGUCGCCUUGGUGAGCCGUUACCUCACCAACUAGCUAAUACAACGCAUGUCCAUCUCUGACCACCCUGAGUUUUCAACCACCGAAGAUGCCUCCGGUGAUGUUAUGGGGUAUUAGUACCAAUUUCUCGAUGUUAUCCCCCUGUCAAAGGUAGGUUACAUACGCGUUACGCACCCGUCCGCCGGUCGCCGG